AUUCCUUCUCCUCCUUUAUUUCCCCCUCAUAUCCUCCUUUCUUUCAUUUCCUUUUGGUCGGAGCCACCACGACACCACCUUGCCUCCACCGUGCCACCACCUCCUUUCCCUCUUGUUUCUACCGAGGAAUUUCGAGUUCAAAAUUAGGAGUUCCGUACUUGUGUGCAAGGAUCAAGAUAGGUGAUGGCGAUCGGACAACGUGAACUAUGUGUUGCAUUGGGAACGAUGGGCGGUGAUCACCUAGUUUAACUUAAUAAACAUAGUAUUAGUAGUGUAGUUACUUUGAAAAUGUAUCAAACUAUUAUUACUACUAUUAUUAUCAUUAAUGAAAGUUAAGUACUAUUUUCCGCUGCAAAACUCUGUUAAGCCUUACGUAAUCACGUGGCGGUAAUACUCCCAUG